AUGGGAUAUGAAAGAGGAGAAUAAUCUCGGGGCCUCAAGAGGAUCCACAGGGAGGAAGGGUGUAGCUGGGGUGAGGAGAUCGGGGAAGGGGAGCCACAAAAUGAGCAAGCCACACCUUGUUCAAAAAAGGCACAAUGGUAUUUAAUACAUUGUAAGCUGAUUUAAAAAAUGAAAAUAGCUUUAAAAAAAAAAGUUUACUGGGGCUGAAGAGAUGGCUCUGCGGUUAAGAGCACUGACUGCUCUUCCAAAGAUCCUGAGUUCAAUUCCCAGCAACCACAUGGUGGCUCACAACCAUCUGUAAUGGGUCUCUGGUGCCCUCUUCUGGUGUGUCUGAAGACAGCAACAGUGGACUCAUAUACAUAAAAUAAAUAAAUCUUUAAAAAAAAAAAGGUUUACUAAAGCCAAAAUGUAAUAUAGCUGGCUAACCCCCAGUCAUCAUAUAAAACAGAAAAUGGAUUUAGUUUAAUAGAAUUCAGCUCACUUCUAGCUACUCCUGCAUCCUACAGACACAUUUUAAAAACAAACAGAAUACAGUUAAACUUCAAAGAAAAAAAAUCUAUGUAGCCCAGGCUGGCCUCAAAUUUACAAUCCCCCCUCCCCCUUCCAAAGUGCUAGGCCUAUGAGCCACCAAGCCUAGCUUCCAACUUCUUUGUUUUUUUUUUUUAUGCUAUCAAAACUAAUUUUUUUAAAUAAUUUAAUUUUAUCCUACCUAUACAAAAACAAGAAUGGGGUAACUGACUAUUCACCAGCCCCUCUCACUGUAGCUCAUGUGGGAAGGCCUCUCAGAAUCACAGGUGACUAUGGAUUCUUCAGAGUACACUAGAAUGUUCUAGACUACAAAAACCUCAAUUUAUUCACGUCAGCUGGUCGCCAAAUCAGACUAGUUUAUCUGGAGUCAUUUCCAUAUUUACCACCUAGACUUGAACCAACUGUUCUGCAACCUCUCUGAAUCGUGGAGCCAUUCCAGGGGUAAAGAAAUCAGAGAAACAUGGCUUGACCCUUCUUACUCCUCCCUCAGAACUGUCUCACAGGAGACACAGGCCCUGAGAAGCCACUGCCUCAUGGCGUUUGAUAGUCCUGCCUCAACAUCUCACCAGGUUAUCAUCGCCCUUCAACAAUAUGCCUGGAGUCACCUAAGCAUGAGAGCCAGAAACCUACAGUAAAGAUGCUGGCGAGACCCUGGCAUCCCUAGAAACAAGUGACAGUCUGACUUAUCCAGUAGAAGUUGGCUUUAAAAAAUACCAUUCCGGUCAGGCGGUGGUGACAAACACCUUUGGUCCCAACUCUUGGGGAGGUAGAGACAGGCAGAGUUCUGUGAAUUCAAGGUCAGUAUGUUUGUGUUCUAUAGACUGGGUUCCAAGACAGCCAGAGCUAAACAGAGAAAGAAACCCUGUCUCAAAAAAGAAAAAAGAAAAAGAAAAUGGGAAAAGGAAAGAGAAAAAAGAAAGAAAAGAGAAAGAAAAAGAAAAAUUUUAAAGAAGAAAAAAGAAAAAAAAACAUUCUGGGGCUGUAAAGAUGGCUCAAUGGUUAAGACCACUCUUACAGAGGACCCAGGUUCCAAUCCCAGGAGCCACAUGGAAAUUCACAGUCCUAACUCCAUUCUAGGAGAUGGGACAUCUUCAGGCUGUCAUUCGCACUACACAUGUGGUAUACACACAUACAGACAGACAAAACACUCACACAUAAAAAUAAAUCUAAAAAUACAUAGUUCUGAUCAAAUAAAGUAUCCCCAGGCUCCUUCCUCCUCAGAAGCAACAGCCUCUGACUGGCAUAACACAAAUUCACUGCACACAAAUAUCCCAGCAGAUUCCACGUCAUGCUCUUUCAGAAUCUUCCAGUGGCUAGCCAACGCUUGUGACACAGAUCCCAAGCUCCUGGCCUUGGCAUUUAAGGUCUUGAAACCUGAGGUCCCAAAGCCAAAUGCCUAUAUAUGCAAAGAAUGCAAAGACCACUUCAAAGCACCAGGGAACACUAAGACCAUGCCAACAGGGGACUAUGACGCCUGUCUUUUGUACUCAGCAGGCACACAUCCCUCAACCUGGGAGAGCUGCCAUGUUUGACUCCUCAAAGCCCCAAAUCCAGAGGUUUUUCUGAAGUGCUCCAAUUUUAUUUUAUUUUUUCUAACUGUGGUGCUCAGGUGUGGUGAUGCACACCUUUAAUCCUAGCACUAUGGAGGCAGAGGCAGGCAGGCAGACAGAUCUCUGUGAGUGGGAGACCAUCCUGGUCUACAGGCUAGCCAGAGAUACAGAGUGAAGCUGUCUCAAAAAAAAAAAGAAAAGAAAAGAAAAGAUAAAGAAAAAGAAGGAAGAAAGAAAAAAGAAAAGAAAGAGAGCUGGAGAGAUGGCUCAGCGGUUAAGAGCACUGACUGUUCUUCCAGAGGUCCUGAGUUCAAAUCCCAGCAACCACAUGGUGGCUCACAACCAUCUGUAAUGAGAUCUGAUGCCUGCCCUCUUCUGGAGUGUCUAAAGACAACUACAGUGUACCUAUAUAACAACGAGACAGAGACAGAGACAGAGACAGAGACAGAGACAGAGACAGGAAGAGAAGAGAAGAGAAGAGAAGAGAAGAGAAGAGAAGAGAAGAGAAGAGAAGAGAAGAGGAGAAAAGAAAGGAAAAAGAAAACCUUUGGAAGUUUGGUGUUGUCUAACCUAUAAGUCACUGACAAGUGCAUACGCCCUAUACUACACAUGUCCCCAAACCACCUUUCCAGUCCUCCUCUUUCACAAAAUCUCUGUUUCCUCGCACACACAACCCUGGUAUCCAUGCCUCGCCCCAGCCCUCACUUACUAAUUCCAUGUCUUUCCCACACAGCUCUGAGGUGCCCCAAACCUCCUCCGAGACUUGGUUACUCCCAGGCCCAUCAGCACACACCACUGGGCCGCCCUCCUCUGCCCACUUCAUCGUGGCAUUUAACACUCUGCCUUGCCCCUUCAACAGGAUAUAUCUUAUCUCUCCAAAUAGACCAUAAACCCCCACCUCUUUGUUGGGCUUCCAGCUACCUUCAGCCCUGGGAGGUGUAGGUCUGCACACAGGCAGCUUCAUAACUAGUUCAAGAAUGUGGAAAGCCUCCCAGUGCGUCUCAAACUGUGAGUGGAUUAUGAUCCACUAGAGAGUGGUUGGAUCAACUUGGUGGGAAACAGAAGCAACAGGACAGAUAAUAAAAAAAAAAGUCCAAGAUUUCACCAAGAACAGAGGUAAGACUUCACAAACUGAAAUAGAGUUUUACAUACACUAUUAGGUAUAUAAAGCCAUGGUGUAAAUUUCCUCUCAUUGUUUUACUUUUAGAGAUUAUGAGUGGGUGUUGUACAUGUGGGUGUAUGUGCAUGUGUCUGUGUAUGUGUGCAUGUGUGUGUGUGUGUGUGCAUGUGUGUGUGUGUGUGUGUGCAUGUGUGUGUAUGUGUGUGUGUCUGCACUUAGAGGAGUUGGUUCUCUCCUUCCACCAUGUGAAUUCUGAGAAUCAAAGUCAGAUCAUCUGUCUCAACGGCCAGCCCCGAUGCCCACUGAGCCAUCUUGUCCGCUCUCAACUUUCUUACCUUAGAGCACAGUCACGGUCACAACUGCAUACAAGCACUGCCCUACAAUGAGCCAAAGAAUUCACUCGUGUCUGUUCUGUACAACUGUUACUGUCAGGAAAAAAUGCCUGUGACGGCUCAGGCCUGCCAAGGCAGGAGGAUUGCUGUGAAUUCAAGGCUCCUGGGUUACAGAGCAAGAAGGACUGAAGAGAAAGAAGGAAAAGAAAGGGAGAAGAGGAAAGGGAAAAGAAGGGGAGGACGACAAGGGAAGAAGAGAAAAGGAGAGGAAGGUAGAAAAGAGGAAGGAACCAAAGGAAAGAACAGGAGAAAGGAGGAGAGAACAUGGCCCUUACGGCCUCCAGUCCCAUCCCUCAAGCUCCUCUCCCCCUCAAUUCACUGAUUCUGCAUCUCAGAGAAGUAAGCAGCUGAAACGAAAAUCCCAGCUCAUGCCACAACCUUCUGUAACCUUAUUCUUCAAAUUCAGAUGUUGCACGCUGACACUUGGGGGAUUUGUUCAGCAAAUCACCCUAAGUCACUCUUGCAAAAGAGAGCAGACUCCAGUGGACAGGAAAAAAAAUUCAAAAGAGUGCCGGCUCCCUUCUAUGCCUUCUCACCAGAAUCCUGAGACAGGGUUACUGGAUGGGACUGGGAUAAACCAGACCCACACAAAAGGUCCUAAAUUCCUGUCUUCCUUUAACUGGUCUUGCUGUUCAUCCCUCUCUGCACAAACAGUGCAGGAGACUUACAUCUCGGUAAAGAGUAAAGUUCAGCACGCAGCAGAGUCUAACAUUCUCCUCCAGCAAAGCCCACCCCACUUCCCUCCACCCCCACCCCUGCUUACAAUAAAUGGCCUCAUUUCCCUAGAAGCCCACUCCCCGGCAUUGCUCCUCCACAUCCAGGGCCAAAUCCAGACAGUGUCCAGUAAAAGGUCAAAACAGAAGCCCUGCAGGUCAGACCCUCAGUCCUGCAUGGAUUCUCUGCUGCUCCUACAACCAAAACAACUGCGAGCUUGUUCCCUGGGUUCCCUGACGGGUCUCCAUACACUCUGCUCCAGGGCAUAACCUAUCAGAGCCACAGUUACUAACACCAACAUACCUACUUCCAGAUAAAACAAAAGAGACCUCUCUAGGGCCCAAGUGGCAAUCAUCUUCUCUGCAAAACACACAUUUUAGAGUCCGGUUAACAACUACAGCAGCUCCAGGCCCUGGUGUGUGAUCAGCUUCCUCCAGGAAUUAAUUCCUAUUCAUUUCUUCCCUUCACCCACCCCGUCAACAGAUUACUUCAACAGCAGUGUCUUCCAGUAAAACCAAGUCCAAACCCACAGCACUCCAAAAGUGCAACAGGCUACUUCACUGGUCUGUCUCCUAACAUCAGAUUCAAAACUCUUUACCAAUAUCCUUGUUACCUCAUCCCCUGGUCUACUGUCUUCCCAGUCCACCCUGGAUAAAAGUCCAAUUCUCAGUCUGACUUUCUAGGACUUUCACAAUCUCAGCCACUAUUCCUCUCUCUAUCUCUUACUGUUCAGGAAACAUUCCAGGAGGGCCAAGGCCAUCUCCUGGACUCUAGAGAAACCCAUAUUCAUCUCCACUUUGUAUCCCAUUUUCAUAAAUCCCAUCUUUCAAGGACACAUAGCCCAGGCCUGGUAAUUCCAGUCCAUAGCUCCCUCCCUCCCUGUGACCUCCAACAGCACCCAGUUCUGCACCUGGCAUUGUGACAACUAACUGUGCCCCAUCUGGAGUCAUAUUUCACAUGCUCAAGUCUUUCUAUGUCCUCCAAGAGAUUACAAGCCCCGACGGGUGUUAUCUAUGAGUCUUCUAUUGCCUUUCUCACCAAGACAAGCAAGCCCUUGGACAUCCUUUUGUAAACUUGUCACCUGUGAACUCCUCCUUCUGACUGAGUCUUGCCAGGGAAUUAUCCACAGGUGGAAAUUAUUUCAAACUGAGUUCCGUAUUCCCUUCCCCACCUUUAUCUCCCAUGCCUCCUGUGCCUGAGCCUGCACAGUAACUUUGCAGCCCUUGCACGUUCAUUUGCAUUUGAGCUCUCAAAUCAUUUCUCUCUCAUAGCUUUCAGAGACAUCAUCCAGAAAGCUUGGCAGUGGGAAGAGGGCAGAGUGGCUUCUCAGAGGUACCUGUGGGCUAACCAAUUUCCUUGUGUUUCACCCUUCCAAAGCAAGAACCUCUAUUUACACAACCCCCCUUAGAAGGAUGUCCUCAGGCUACAAUACCUGUUGAUUGCUCAGUUUGAAACAAACUGCUCCACUUUACACCAUUCUGUUAAGGGAUCUUGCAGAAAGCAGUGAAGAACUAUAGAUAGCCCCUGUGCCAUGGCCUGGCAUCAUGGGAACCCAUGCCUGGUGGAAGUCCUCCAGAACCACAGGAAAGGGAGGGAUGGAAAACAGGGCUCCUGCAAGAUUGCUGGCAGGAAAUUCAUCCCGGACAACGCUGCCUGCUUUCUAGUGAGGGCAGAAGACAGAGAUGAAAAGUCUGUUUAUCUUGGUGCUGGAAGCAGAAUGAUAAGAUCCAGAGCAGGACCACUUUGAAGGUGCAAGGACUGUGGCUCCCAGACACAUCAACUCCCUAUGGAGGUCUAGAAGACCAACAGCAAGAUUUCCACACUGCCUUCUGGCUGUCUUCACGGCUGUCACUCUGGAGCCUCCCGGAUACAGGCAAAUUACACAUGACAAAAACUAAUUCAACUCAGUCCCAUUUGUGUGCUUCCUGAUGGAGGGACUUGGGGAUGUCCUCUGCUAUGACCCCGGAAGGAAGGCUCUUCCCAUAGAAGAUCUUAAUAAGGCCUGGGGCAGCUUUUCCCACCCACAAGGGAAAAAACUCAGAGCAAUAAAAAAUGUCACAAUAUAAAACAAGAUGUGUAGACCAAGAUGGUUUAGCAAGUGCAGGCGCUUAUGUCAGGCCUGGUGACCUUGAGUUUAAUCUGUGGAACCCAAAUAAAGGGAAAUAAGAGAAAU